AAUAGAUACCCGGUAGUCCACGCCCUAAACGAUGCUCACUAGGUGUUGGGGAAGCGAUUCCUUGGUACCGUAGCUAACGCGUGAAGUGAGCCGCCUGGGGAGUACGGCCGCAAGGUUAAAACUCAAAGGAAUUGACGGGGACCCGCACAAGCGGUGGAUGAUGUGGAUUAAUUCGAUGCAACGCGAACAACCUUACCUACCCUUGACAUGUCCGGAAGCCUGCUGAAAGGUGGGUGUGCUCGAAAGAGAACCGGAACACAGGUGCUGCAUGGCUGUCGUCAGCUCGUGUCGUGAGAUGUUGGGUUAAGUCCCGCAACGAGCGCAACCCUUGUCCCUAGUUGCUACGCAAGGGCACUCUAGGGAGACUGCCGGUGACAAACCGGAGGAAGGUGGGGAUGACGUCAAGUCCUCAUGGCCCUUAUGGGUAGGGCUUCACACGUCAUACAAUGGACGGUACAGAGGGUUGCCAACCCGGCGAGGGGGGAGCCGAAUCCCCAGAAAGCCGUUCGUAGUCCGGAUCGCAGUCUGCAACUCGACUGCGUG
rnacentral:rRNA from 1 species